rnacentral:rRNA from 1 species
CCUACGGGAGGCAGCAGUGAGGAAUAUUGGUCAAUGGGCGUAAGCCUGAACCAGCCAAGUCGCGUGAAGGAUGAAGGUUCUAUGGAUCGUAAACCUCUUUUAUAAGGGAAUAAAGUGCGGGACGUGUCGCGUGUUGUAUGUACCUUAUGAAUAAGGAUCGGCUAAAUCCGUGCCAGCAGCCGCGGUAAUACGGAGGCUCCGGGCGUUAUCCGGAUUUAUUGGGUUUAAAGGGUGCGUAGGUGGCCUUUUAAGUCAGAGGUGAAAGUCUGAGGCUCAACCGUAGAAUUGCCGUUGAAACUGGUAGGCUUGAGUACGGUAGAGGCAGGCGGAAUUCGUGGUGUAGCGGUGAAAUGCUUAGAUAUCACGCAGAACCCCGAUUGCGAAGGCAGCCUACCGAGC